UAAAAAAUUGCUGUUAAAAAACGGGCAAUUUCCAACAGUAAAAUACUGUUAUUUCAAUAAACAGUUUGAUACUGUAGAUUAACAGCCAAAGGCCCAUAAAAUAAUUUUUUUCUGUAAAUUUACAGCUUUGAACUGUACACCCAUUGGCGCCUGAAAAAAACAGUCUUGCGCUGUAAAAGCAGGAUAUGGCACUACUAACCAAGUGUGUGUGUGUAAAAUAAUGUAAAAGGUAGACAGUUGUUAAUUCAUUUUUUAAGUUAAAUGUAUAGUUUAUUAUCCAUCUGUUUUGUUGUGUCAGAAAUUAUUAACAAUACAAAUUGUUUAUUAUUAAUCUUGAAUAAUAACAAAGCUUGAACAUUUGAUUUUGUUUAAAAGACAUUUUUAAUACUCAAUUUCACAACUAAACAAAGAAAAUAUUUUUCUCAAAGAUCAAUUCUAUAGUAGAGUGAAAAAACAAAAAGGACUAAUUUUAAUCAAGUGUUUUUGUCCUCUUAAAUAGCAAAAGCAUAACACACUAGCUGUACCUACUCCAAAAUAAAUACAAAUAAAUAAAAUAAAAAAAUUAAAACUAAGAAAAUAAUUUAAAUAGUCAGGCACACACUGCUUCUCCGCCCACUUCCGGCCUCGGCCGGCGCUGACGUAUAGUUCUGCGUGGUGGGGAGGGGGGAUUUUUAACUCAUCACUCUUUUUCAAAACAGCGCGGUAAACAAGAUGACGUCGCAGCUCAUCUCUUCUCCUGCUUUUCCUCCGUUUUUACAAAGGACACAAUUCAAUGUAAGUUUGUAAUUUUGUUGUUAUUUCAUUAUGCUUCCCUCAAUUUGUAAUAUGUCUUUUAAGAAGUAUUUGUGACUCUGCUACCUGACGCGAAUCGCGUUUUGAAGGCAGUUCUUAACGUUCGUUACUCAGUUUUCUCCAACCUUUGAUUAUUACAGCAAAUACUUUGCUUGUUUUAAAAUGUGCGAUAUUAAUUCGACAUUUUUAGUAGUAACCUCAAUGUGUAUCUGUUGUGUGUUUGAUUUUUAAUACCAAAUGCACAUGUGAAGUUAAUUUACACCACGCUAUAUAAUUCACGCAAAAGUACAUUACUCGUGUUUGAUCGAGAUUUACACGUAGGCUUUUAUGUAAGUUGGUAGUCUUAUUCAAAAAGCCAAUGAGGUCGUUAGUCAGUAGCAGUUAUUUUUGACUGUUUUUAGCGCGAAUCGCGUUUUGCAGAGAGACGUUGACAAUCAACAACAGGUCAAGCAUUUUCAAGUCUUCUCCAAAAAGUUAAUAACCCGAAAUAAAUAAAUUGUUUUAUUUUUAUCUUGUACAGGAAUCAUUCAAUCGAUGUACUUGUAUUUCUGAGACAGUAAACAACGCUAUAUUAGGGAGGUCAGAGAUGAUUAUCCUUGAGGGUCGUGUGAUUUGUGAGGUCGUAUACCCAAGAUUUCUGACUGCAAGAUUUCUACUGUUCGCAAUGUACUACGUCUUAAAUCUUCAGUAUCCAGAGGCGUGUGGCACAUUGGAUUUUAUUUAGAGACGAUUUGUCGGAUAAAUCCUGAAAAAGGCUCGAAGACCAGCAAAGUCAUGGUCGUUAAAAAGACUGGAAAGAAUGUGAAUAAGAAGACUGCUACUGUUAACCCAGAAGUUGCAUCCAUCCUAAAGAACCUCAUCCGUUUGAAAUGGGAUUUUGUCUAGACCCGGAUUUCCUCUCAGGCCAGAGCAAUCAGAAGCUGGAGUAAGACACUUAAAUUUUUUUCCAACAAUUAGUUUGAUUAAUGUGUUCUUCAUUUCAUGCCAGGUUUUUUAAAUAUGUUGUGCCGUGCUGGCAGUUUUUUCUUCUUGUUGUAAGUUUGUUUUUAGCUCCUUGAGUUGCACUUUUUUCUGUGAUUUCUGUUUUUAACUCUUUCCCGCCAUUGAUGAGUUUUUAUAGCAAUCCGUAUUUCCGCUAUUAUGGCUCUCUUACCCAACUUAUACAACCUGGAAGCAACCCCUCAGGUCAAACAAUUCAAACUCAGUGUAUGUUUUGAUUAUUGCUCCGAAUCGGAUUUCUAUCAGAAGUCUUUCACAAAAUCGCCAUUAUCUCAGCUUUUUGCACAAAAUAUCGUCUUUUUGAAGAAACCUACACAUAUUUGAGAGGUGGUAAAAAAGAACUAAUGAAGGUAGGAUGAAUUUUUUUAUUGUUUGAAAGCAGAGGGGUUUCUUAUUUUAUUUGAUUCGAUUUGAUAUAUUGAAGGUUUAUGGUUAAAGAAGAAUGUUUUCUUGAAGGCAUUAAACUUUUGUAAGAAUCAUUAAAAACGCUGUCACUGGCUGUCAACUUUUUUUUAAAUCACUGGCGGGGAAAGAGUUAACAUACUGUUAAAUUCACUGUAACUGUUACUCCGUAGCUCCUUCAAUUGCACUUUAUUUUUGUGAUGUGGUCUUUCUUACUCUGUGGUUGCUUUUUAAUGGCACCUUUUCUCUGUGACAUUGCAUUUAUUGUUAAACAUACUUGUAAAUGUUUACAGUGCUAAAAGAUUGUUUAAAGAUUGUAAUAACAGUUGUAUUAAUAAAUGGAAAAUGGAGCACUA